rnacentral:rRNA from 1 species
UACGAAGGGUGCAAGCGUUACUCGGAAUUACUGGGCGUAAAGCGUGCGUAGGCGGUUUGUUAAGUCCGCUGUGAAAGCCCUGGGCUCAACCUGGGAAUUGCAGUGGAUACUGGCAAGCUAGAGUGCGGUAGAGGAUGGUGGAAUUCCCGGUGUAGCGGUGAAAUGCGUAGAGAUCGGGAGGAACACCCGUGGCGAAGGCGGCCACCUGGGCCGACCCUGACGCUGAGGCGCGAAGGCGUGGGGAGCGAACGGG